GGCCAGCAGCCGCGGUAAAACGUAGGAGGCGAGCGUUAUCCGGAUUUACUGGGUGUAAAGCGCGUGCAGGCGGUUUACUAAGUUGGAUGUGAAAGCUCCUGGCUCAACUGGGAGAGGUCGUUCAAAACUGGUAGACUCGAGAGCAGUAGGGGAAGGUGGAAUUCCGGGUGUAGUGGUGAAAUGCGUAGAUAUCCGGAGGAACACCAGUGGCGAAGGCGGCCUUCUGGACUGCAUCUGACGCUCAGACGCGAAAGCUAGGGUAGCAAACGGGAUUAGAGACCCCGGUAGUCCUAGCCGUAAACGAUGUGAACUUGGCGCCGGGCGGGUAAAACCGAUCGGUGCCGAAGCAAACGCGAUAAGUUCACCACCUGGGGACUACGGCCGCAAGGUUAAAACUCAAAGGAAUUGACGGGGGCCCGCACA
rnacentral:rRNA from 1 species